CAUGAAUGAAUGCUCUUCCUGGUUUUCCAAACUUGAAUAUUAAGAUGAAAUGUAGUGCUGAAACCAGGGAAACUGAUAAGGUGUAGUAGCUAGGCCUUCAGCUUUUAAGUUUGGUUUCAAGCAAAGGAAGAAGAAACAUAGUAGCCCAGUAGGGCUGAGUCUUACUCCCUACCUAACACAGGCUUGGAGGUGGGGUGAGCUGAGAAAGGAGAUGACAAGGCAUCACAGUGAUGGUGGGCCAAGAUGGUUGAGAUGUCCUGAGGUGCUCUGCAAGGAAAGAAAGAAUGGAUCAAAGAAGUCUAUUUCUGUCUAUCCUUUCUCUGUCUCUCUGUCUCUGUCUGUCUCUCUGAGGGUGUCUUUUGUGUGUCAUAUAAACACGUUCACAUGUGUGUGUGCAUGAAUGUAUGAGUGAGUGUGGGGAGGCCAGAGGUCAAUGUUGGGUGUAUUUGAUUACUCUUUGUGUUAUAUUUUGACACAGGGUCUCUCCCCUGAUCCUGGAGCUCCUUGUUUUGGCUGGGUUGGGUGGCCAAUGAACUCCAAGGAUUAGCCUAUUUCUGCACCCUUCAGCCUCAGUGCUGGGUGACGGAUGCCAUGCCCAGGUUUUAUAUGGAUGCUUGGCAUCCCAACACAGGACAUUGUUGAAGGCUCAAGGGUAUGAAACUCACUUCAGGAAAAUAUGCACAGAAAUGACGACCUGCUCCUUAGCUUUGUCUCUAAAUAGGACAGCUUUGAAUAGAGCAUCUGCUGAGAGUAGGAGGUAUGUCUGCCUUCAGAUGCUCGAUGAAGCCUAUGUGUGCUCUGUUAAACUUGGCCUGAGUGCAAGCCUAGCUGAGUUUUUCUUACUUCCUGCUUUCCUCCAGUGACUGAAGUCUAGUCCCUGCUUGCUCACUUGAAGAGAUGCUAGAAACAGGCACACACAGGUGCUGACCACCUUGCCAGCUCUGCUUCUCUUCCACAUUCAAGCUUCUCCCUGAAUGGAAAACCACAAGAAUGACGAUCUAAUUGAGUCUGCGCUGGCUGGCUCCCUGCCCACUGCUAACUAGUUUGAUUCAGUUUUUCCAUUGUUGAUAACAAAACACAGGCACUGGAGACUGACUUGACUGGAGCAAUGGAGAAAGAAGAAGCAACAGGCACUCAGACUGGGAUCAGGUUUUUACCUCUUCCUGAAUCAUCUAUACUCACUUCAUCAUGGUCUCCUCUGUAGUCUGGCUCCAU
rnacentral:sRNA from 1 species